rnacentral:rRNA from 1 species
AUUGAACGCUGGCGGCAGGCCUAACACAUGCAAGUCGAACGAGUGGCGGACGGGUGAGUAAUGUCUGGGAAACUGCCUGAUGGAGGGGGAUAACUACUGGAAACGGUAGCUAAUACCGCAUACCAUCGGAUGUGCCCAGAUGGGAUUAGCUAGUAGGUGGGGUAACGGCUCACCUAGGCGACGAUCCCUAGCUGGUCUGAGAGGAUGACCAGCCACACUGGAACUGAGACACGGUCCAGACUCCUACGGGAGGCAGCAGUGGGGAAUAUUGGACAAUGGGCGCAAGCCUGAUGCAGCCAUGCCGCGUGUGUGAAGAAGGCCUUCGGGUUGUAAAGGACUUUUAUCAGGGAGGCGGUACCUGAAGAAGAAGCACCGGCUAACUACGUGCCAGCAGCCGCGGUAAUAC